AACCAACCACGUUCCAGCUCGGAUUGCCUCGUUCAGUGAAUCGGUAACUGUGGCAUGGAAAGAAGAACUCAGACUACCUUGCUUAACAGUGGGACAACCCGCUCCAAUUUUACGUUGGCACAAAAAUGGUAAAACAAUUCAAGGGAACAGGCACAUACAAAUAAACUCAGAAGGUACUGUUUAUAUAAGCUCCAUACAAAGCUCGGAUGCAGGAAAUUAUUCUUGCUUGGCGGAAAACGUUUUCGGAAAGGAAGAAAUAAUAUAUUUCGUGUCUGUUCAAGAAAGCAGGAGCAGAGGAAUUCCAUCUGCUCCAACAGAAUUUCAAGCAACUUCGCUUUCUACAUCCACUAUCACAGUGACAUGGCAAGCACCUCUAUCAAAAGGAAG